CAGAAAAGGGAACUGAGUCAGACAAAAGAGCAGGACUCUUCAAUGUGGAAAAGCAAAGACUGAAGGAAUCACGGGAUCAGGAGGUAGGAAACAGCGAAUGGCCUAGAGGAGUUUGGCGAUGGGCACUGCAAGUGGAUUGUGGUAUGACUGUGUUAGGACCAGGGUGAGGAGCACUGCAUAAAAGGGGCGUUUAAGAGGUGGUGUAAACAGGUAUUGCAAGGGGAUUUUUUAGGGAUGAGAACUAACUUGUGAAGACAAAGCCAUAAGUGGCUCCUGUAGAAGCUGGACUGCACCUCGCCUUUAACACUUGACAUCAGGGAGGGGGCAUGUGGUCCAGGCACAUCCUGGGUGGGGGCACCAUUGGUUACUGGACCCUGGCCCAGGUGGAUAGGGUCUGACCCAGUGGAGUGUCCUCCGUUCCUGAGAAAUACAGGAUUUGGUCAAAGAUGUUCAGUUUCAAAAUUGACACACUACUUAGGCAAAAAAAAGUGUAGUUAUACUUUUUUAAUAUUUGCAAGGUCUUUUAUUAAAGAGCAGAAAGAACGGCUCCUUAUGACAAGAUAAUCAGUGAUUACAAUCUUUUAGAAACCUGAUUUUUCUCUCUCCACAUCUCUGCCAAAAUAUCUAACAAAUUGUGUUGACAUCCCACUGUUAGGAGAGGGCCAGACCUUCCUAAUCAGGUGUCCUGGUGAGAGGAGGACUUCUUUAUACGGAUUCGGCUCCCUGAGCGAGAUGGCCAAGACAAAACUGCCCACGUAAUUUUUGUAUUUUCAUGGAAAUACGAAGGGGAUAUAAUUUCAGCAAAACCCUGCCAGCUUCACUUGGUGACUACAACCAAAGAUUAUGUGUCAAGUGCACGAGGGUCCCUCUCUGACAGGUCUGAUUAGUGGUGACCCCCCCAUCAGAGUAGAGACAGAGCUCACGGUUUAAAAGUUUCAUCGGGGCCAGGCGUGAUGGCUCACACCCGUAAUCCCAACACUUCAAGAGGCAGAGGCAGAAGCAUCACUCAAGCCUAAGAGUUCAAGGCCAGCCUGGGUAACAUGGCAAGACCCAUCUCUACAAAAAAUUUAAAAAUAAAAAAUUUAAAGCUA
rnacentral:lncRNA from 10 species